rnacentral:rRNA from 1 species
AACGAACGCUGGCGGCAUGCCUAACACAUGCAAGUCGAACGAGACCUUCGGGUCUAGUGGCGCACGGGUGCGUAACGCGUGGGAACCUGCCCUUAGGUUCGGAAUAACUCCCCGAAAGGGGUGCUAAUACCGGAUAAUGUCUUCGGACCAAAGAUUUAUCGCCUUUGGAUGGGCCCGCGUUGGAUUAGCUAGUUGGUAGGGUAAAAGCCUACCAAGGCGACGAUCCAUAGCUGGUCUGAGAGGAUGAUCAGCCACACUGGGACUGAGACACGGCCCAGACUCCUACGGGUGGCAGCAGUGGGGAAUAUUGGACAAUGGGCGAAAGCCUGAUCCAGCAAUGCCGCGUGAGUGAUGAAGGCCUUAGGGUUGUAAAGCUCUUUUACCCGGGAUGAUAAUGACAGUACCGGGAGAAUAAGCUCCGGCUAACUCCGUG